GAGGCAAACCGCUGGUUACGCAAGCUAUGUCCAAUUUAUAGAUCGCGUUUUCUCUGCCUCGUACCCAGGUGCUUUGGUUUGUACACGUGGGACGGCACGCGAGGGAGAAAAACGGAAAAUUAAUCCACCUGUCCCACGCAAAAGGCCACGCGAGCAAUAGAACAACAUAGCGCCUGGGUACGAAGCAGGCGUUUUCUCAUGACGCGUUUCCGCUUGGUAGCAAUCGACGGUAGGUGAGCAUAGACGGAUUUUCAUAUUUAUUACUGGGGUGGUGCCAGAAAUUUUAGGGGGGUGAGCCGUGAGCAGGUGACUGAAGCAACACAAAGUGUCACCAAACCCCAGUAAGGUCUAUAUUCUAGGGGUGGAGCACUAGAGCCACGAGGGGGAGUCUAGAGAGCAGAAAACAAAGUACCCCAGGAAAAAAUUGAAAAAAACUCUAUUCAGGGAAGAUAAUAGAGUUUCAAAACUUUACAAUUGCUCCAAUAAACCAGUGAAUGCAAGCUAGGAGCGAUUAGUUUCAGAGUGUUUCUGUUCUAGUGUACUCCUACGUUUAUUUUGUAUCAUCAAC